AGUGAACGCUGGCGGUAGGCCUAACACAUGCCAGUCGAACGGCAGCACAGUAAGAGCUUGCUCUUACGGGUGGCGAGUGGCGGACGGGUGAGGAAUACAUCGGAAUCUACUUUUUCGUGGGGGAUAACGUAGGGAAACUUACGCUAAUACCGCAUACGACCUACGGGUGAAAGCAGGGGAUCUUCGGACCUUGCGCGAUUGAAUGAGCCGAUGUCGGAUUAGCUAGUUGGCGGGGUAAAGGCCCACCAAGGCGACGAUCCGUAGCUGGUCUGAGAGGAUGAUCAGCCACACUGGAACUGAGACACGGUCCAGACUCCUACGGGAGGCAGCAGUGGGGAAUAUUGGACAAUGGGCGCAAGCCUGAUCCAGCCAUACCGCGUGGGUGAAGAAGGCCUUCGGGUUGUAAAGCCCUUUUGUUGGGAAAGAAAAGCAGCAGGUUAAGACCCCGCUGUUCUGACGGUACCCAAAGAAUAAGCACCGGCUAACUUCGG
rnacentral:rRNA from 1 species